rnacentral:lncRNA from 1 species
GGGACUUGGAGAUGCUAAUCUCCAAGCAAGGAGGCAGACACUGUCUAUCAAAUGAAAGAGGAGGUGUUUGAUGCUCCCUGGCAGCUUUCCCGACCUCCGAUCUAACAGGGUUGCAAGCGCCUCCUGCUGCAGAUCCAUUGCAGGACUGUUGUUCAUGGCGGGCAACCUGGGCAAUUAGAGGUUUCUGUUAAUUCUCUUCCUUCUCAUUCUUCAAGCUUCCCCUCCUCCUCGAGUAUCAGCAAGUCGGAGUGACAGGUUCCCAACAGCCACUGGUUUUGUGCAUCGGGAGAUGGCAAUGCAGACGCUGGCCUUCCUUCUGACUCAGUACCUUCAAUGCAGAAGUUGGCUCAGUGCCGUGACCAAACACUGCCCAUAGUCCAGCUAAGGGCCAACUGGCUGGUGCCACAGGCCAUGUCUGGCCUGCAGUUAGUAUAUCCUGCUCAGUUGUAUCUUCAUGCUCACUGGAUGUCCCUAAAGAAGACAGUUGUCCAUGUGGAAGCAAAGUCUUUGGCCUUGGCUACCAGAGAGAAAAUCAGUUGUUCUGGUGAUCCAUCAAGCAACGGCCUUGUCUACUGCUCAGAGAAUGCUCUCAGAACCACUGGGAUUCCUUUCAACCCUCAUGGCUACCUGGUUUGCACAUAAGGAUUCUGGGUUACCACAUGUCUUUUUUA